ensembl:lncRNA
CUCCAUUACAUGGUUCUCUGUGCCAUGAACCGUUUUUAUGAAGAGGCACACAACCGAUUAAAAAGAUUUCUGCAAUACGCUACUUCAAACUUCCCUCUCCAUUAUAUGAUUCUCUACACCAUUUACUGUUUCCAUGAAGAGGCACACAACCGAUUAAAAAGGUUUGUGCAUCACUAUUAAAUAUCUACUGUCCACAACUAUCAAAAAGAUUUCUGCAAUAUGCUACACUUCAAACUUCCUUCUCCAUUAUAUGAUUCUCUGCUCCAUUAACUAUUUUUAUGAAGCAGCACAAAUCUGUUUAAGAAGGUUUGUGCAUCAAAACUCAAUAUCUACUGUCCACUACUCCCAGAAGAUUUCUGCAAUACACUACACUUCAAACUUCCUUCUCCAUUAUAUGAUUCUCCGCUCCAUGAAUUGUUUUUGAAGCAGCACAAAACCAAAAGAAAGGUUUGUGCAUCAAAACCCAAUAUCUACUGUCCACUACUAUCAAAAGAUUUCUGCAAUACGCUACAUGUGAAACUUCCUCCUUAUGCUUUAUUUGAUUCUCCACUCCAUGAACUGUUUUUAUGAAGCAGCACAAAACCAAUAAAAAGGUUUGUGCAUCAAAACUCAAUCUCUACUGUCCACUACUCGCAAAAGAUUUCUGCAAAACGCUACACUUCAAACUUCCUUCUCCAUUAUAUGAUUCUCCACUCCAUGAACUUUCUAUGAAGCAGCACAAAACCGAUUAAAAAGGUUUGUGCAUCAAAACUCAAUAUCUACUGUCCACUACUCCCAAAAGGUUUCUGCAAUGCGCUACACUUCAAACUUCCUUCUCCAUUAUGAUUCUCCAGUCCAUGAACUGUUUUUAUGAAGCACACAACCGAUAAAAAUAAAAGUGAAUACAAAACCAUUGUUCAAAUAUCUUCAGAAAAUGUCCCAGCAAAACUCUAAACUGAUGCAGGCAUUCAAUAGUCAAAGUUAUUAAACAAAUGAAUAACCGCAAAAGUAACACAAUUAUAUAUUAAAUAUUGGAUGGAUGGCUUGUAUUAUAUUAAAGGCUAUGUACAGCAAAUUUAGAUGCCAGCCAAAGGAGGAUGGCUUGCCCCUGCUGAGUCUGGUUCCUCCCAAGGUUUCUCCCUAUACCUCUCUGCUGAUGAUGCUUCUCUUCACUAAUUUAGGGAGUUUUUCCUUGCCACUGUUGCCUUCUGGCUUGCUCACUGGGGUAUUAAGGCACAAUAUUUUCAAUGUAUACUGUGUAAAGUGUUUGUAAAGAAUAAUAAAUACAUGAUGAUUUAGAAUAUA